rnacentral:rRNA from 1 species
AGAGUUUGAUCCUGGCUCAGGAUGAACGCUGGCGGCGUGCCUAACACAUGCAAGUCGAACGGAGUGUUCCACCCGACAGAUUAUCUUCGGAUAUGAAGUCAUCGGAAACGCUUAGUGGCGGACGGGUGAGUAACGCGUGGGCAACCUGCCCUGCACUGGGGGAUAGCGGUUGGAAACGACCGGUAAUACCGCAUACCUUACAUUUGCCGCAUGACAGAUGUAAGAAAAUGAUUUAGUGGUGCAGGAUGGGCCCGCGUCCGAUUAGUUAGUUGGUGGGGUAACGGCCUACCAAGACGACGAUCGGUAGCCGACCUGAGAGGGCGGACGGCCACAUUGGGACUGAGACACGGCCCAGACUCCUACGGGAGGCAGCAGUGGGGAAUAUUGCACAAUGGGGGAAACCCUGAUGCAGCCGACGCCGCGUGAGUGAAGAAGUAUUUCGGUAUGUAAAGCUCUAUCAGCAGGGAAGAUAAUGACGGUACCUGACUAAGAAGCCCCGGCUAAAUACGUGCCAGCAGCAGC